AGGACGAACGCUGGCGGCGUGCUUAACACAUGCAAGUCGAGCGACGCCUCAUCUUCGGGUGGGUGACGGAGCGGCGAACGGGUGAGUAACACGUGGGCAACCUGCCCCUAGCUUCGGGAUAAGCCCGGGAAACCGGGUCUAAUACCGGAUAUGAGAUCGGAUCGCAUGGUCUGGUUUGGAAAGUUUUUCGGCUAGGGAUGGGCCCGCGGCCUAUCAGCUUGUUGGUGGGGUAAUGGCCCACCAAGGCGACGACGGGUA
rnacentral:rRNA from 1 species